UAACCCAAGGUUGACCUCGGAUCAGGUAGGAAGACCCGCUGAACUUAAGCAUAUCAAUAAGCGGAGGAAAAGAAACCAACAGGGAUUGCCCUAGUAACGGCGAGUGAAGCGGCAACAGCUCAAAUUUGAAAUCUGGCUUCGGCCCGAGUUGUAAUUUGCAGAGGAAGCUUUAGGCGCGGCACCUUCUGAGUCCCCUGGAACGGGGCGCCAUAGAGGGUGAGAGCCCCGUAUAGUUGGAUGCCUAGCCUGUGUAAAGCUCCUUCGACGAGUCGAGUAGUUUGGGAAUGCUGCUCAAAAUGGGAGGUAAAUUUCUUCUAAAGCUAAAUACCGGCCAGAGACCGAUAGCGCACAAGUAGAGUGAUCGAAAGAUGAAAAGCACUUUGAAAAGAGGGUUAAAUAGCACGUGAAAUUGUUGAAAGGGAAGCGCUUGUGACCAGACUUGCGCCGGGCGGAUCAUCCGGUGUUCUCACCGGUGCACUCCGCCCGGCUCAGGCCAGCAUCGGUUCUCGCGGGGGGAUAAAGGUCCUGGGAACGUAGCUCCUCCGGGAGUGUUAUAGCCCGGGGCGUAAUGCCCUCGCGGGGACCGAGGUUCGCGCAUCUGCAAGGAUGCUGGCGUAAUGGUCAUCAGCGAC
rnacentral:rRNA from 1 species